rnacentral:tRNA from 2 species
GGGGAUGUAAACCUUUGCCAGUAUAGGGUUUCCUGAGUUAUGCCUAGUGCUUCCCAUGCUGAACGUCGUGGGUUCGAGUCCCACCGUCCGCU